rnacentral:misc_RNA from 1 species
AGACUCGCUUAUCGUGUUGGAAGGCAGGUUCUCCGGCGCUGCUUGCCGCAUUCGUUUGAAUUUUUUCCAUCCACCGUCUCUCAUCAACUCCCUCAUCUGCGCCCCCUCCUCCCACCGCUGCGGCGAACAGAACACUUCCUCUCCUGAUUGAGGCGGGGCUGUGCCAUGCUCUUUGGCAGCCUUCAAUGCACGCAGAAGGGCCGAGUGCGGCUGCCUGCGGGGAGCCGAGGCGGCGCCGUCUACGCGGACGACUUUGGUGGCGUCUGGGUGAUAUCAGAGGAUGCGCAAGAGGUUUUGUACUACGCACCCGACACGCUAUCCGCCGCCAUAGAGCAGCAGCAGCGGCAGGCGUGCCCUCCCCUGAGUACCCACGGCACCUCUGUUGCACCACUGUCUACCUCGUCUCCGGCCUACGCCGUCGUGUUUCGCUGCGACGCCCAGAACGGCACCGCAGACGGUGUGACUCGAGAGGAUCGUGUCUACUCGCUGUAUUCGGUUAGCCGUCAUGAAUGCAUCGCCGGCAGCCCUCGGCGUGACCUGUGCAUCGUCACAACACGCGGCACGCUGGCAUUUGUUCGAAUGCCGGCCAACCACCGCCAUGACCCGCCGCUGCGGCAGAUCGCUGCGCAACCGUAUCAGGAGGUGCACCUCGACAUGCAUGUCUGCGCCGCCACUGUCACCAACGGUGCUGUGCAGAACCUUGUUCUGUGCUGCCACGACGGGACUUUCACGGAGGUGAUUCGCGUCGCUGUCGUCGGCUCUGCCGAGCAGCUCGGCGGCGUUGGCUCUGCUGCCGCGGACACGGAGUGCGAGGUGGACGCAACUGGGCUGUUCAGAGUAGAAGGCCGUAUCGAGGCCGUGCUGCACGAUUCCGUGCUGGAUGUGCUCGUCACGGUCAGCGACACCGGCUAUGUCGACGUCUGGGAUGUGGCUUCUGCGAAGGAUGUGACGGCGAUGUACGGGUCUCUGUCCUGGGACUGCGACCGGUACGGAGCUCCGACGUGUGCACUGCUCUGUCGCGACCAGUUGUGGGUGGGGCUCACAACGGGGCAGCUACUGGUCUUCCCCCUUUCUAAUUGCCACGGCGGCGCUUCUCCUCCCCUGCUGAACAGCGCUCAACUUUUACGCGGUCACACGUCGCGCGUGACCGGCCUCAUUAGUGUGUCGCUCGCCACGUGCGUGUGGAGCUGCGCUGCGGACUCGGCAAAGGUGAACGUGUGGGACGCCGGCACUGCGGCGCUCCGCGGCUCUUUCGUGUUUCCAGGUAGCGGCCUCGUGGCGUGGCAGGCGGGCGCAGCCCAGGUGCGCACGGCGCUCUGGGGUAUCGACGGCGCGACCGGCGAGCCGAGCCUACUGCAGGUCACUCAAUCGCUGCCAGACCCCAACGGCACCCAGGCGAGGACGCGAGAGGAGACGCGUGCGCAGCACCACACUGAGGCUCUCCUGCACGCCUAUCAAGUCUUCUGGCGAUCAAUGGCGCGGACACUUCGUCACCUGCUGCUCGGUGAAGCCAAGGAUGCUGACGAGGGCGCUGAGGAGGCUAUGCAGACGGCACUGCAACUCAUUUGGCAAGAUGCGAGCGGCGCCGGCGAUAACAGGGACGUCCUCGACGCGAUUCAUGCCAUGUGUGAUACCUUGCGGCGACUUCGUGCUGCACACCGCAGAUGUGAUCCCGAGGGCAGUGACAAUGCUAGAGAUCUCCCGUCGUUGAUGGAGGCUUGCGUCACGUGGUAUGAGCAGCAGGGACGUGUCCCACACGAGGUGGAGGCGUUGCUGCGCGCCUUGAAUGCGUCGAGCUCCGAAGCGACAUGCCUCACGUCACUGGAGGACGUUGAAGAGGAGGUGAUGCUGCUUCGUGCGCGUGUGGAAGAGCUUCAGGUUGAGCUGGCACGGGCAGGCGACCGCCGCGACAGCGAUGCUGUCUGCAAGGGAGGUGCAGAGGCUACCGACAACGCCAUCGCAGCGGAGCUGCAGGACGCACAGGCCGCGCUGCGCGACAAGGCGGAGGAGAACCGGGAGUUGAGGGCCCAGCUGAGCGAGGCACAGCGCGAGGCGACGUCUCUCACGUCCCAGCACGCACACACGCAGCAGCUACUGGACGCCUCUGAUGAGCAAGUGGAGCAGCUCAAGCGGUCACUAGUGGCUGCCAAGAGGGCGGCCGAGGUGAAAGCGUCCGAUGUCUCGUCUAUGUUUGAGAUGGAGUCGAGGCUGCAUGAGUCGCAGGGCGUCAUCGCCGAGCUCUCUGCCAAGGUGGAGACGCUCCUGAAGGAGGCGGAUGUGGCGAGGGUGUCGCUGCACGCGUUCGAGGAGAGGCAGGCGGCCGCCAAGGAGGUACUGCAGCGAGUUCUGCGCACUCAGAAUGACCUCGCUGAUGAUGUUGGCACGCUUGUUGACGACGUGAGUGCGGCGAUUGCGACCUUCAAGAAGCGCCACUGCGGUUCUCUCACAGAGCACGCUGCUGCUUUAGUUGGGAUAGUAGAGGAGGCGCUGUACCGACUUGAGUUGUCCGUCGAGAGGCGACUGCGAGAUGAGCAGUUGUGGUUUCAGUCCCUCUCCCAUGGGCUGAAGGCCGCUAUGGCGUGACGCAGCAACGAUCCACGCAUGCUUUGCCCGCACAAGCGUGAAAGACUCCCGUCCUGUUUUCGACGCUCUGGUGAGGGCGCGUACGCGCGUGGUUGCUUCGGAGGGGGGAGGGCUACCGCGCUGGUGUCACGCAGGCUGCUGCUGCGAUGCGGCGUUCCGCGUUCACUGCCGCAUCGCCUCCGCUGUACAUGAGGAGGAGGGUCACCACCCUUCACUAUGUAGAAUAGACAGAGAAGCGCGUUAUAUGCAAACCGGACGCGCGGGAAGUGCCAGGGUCCCUUACCCGCUGGGCAACCUUCCGUCUCUCUAAAACUCGCCCCACGCACGUCCUCUCCCGUCGGGGGCGCGCGAUGCAUAGAAGGACACGCUGCUGCAACAGGCGUGUGCGCAUAGAGAAUUAGCAUAAGGUGUAGAAGAGAGAAGAGGUGAAGGGACUUCCCAUGGCACAGCGCACUCACCUCACUUUUCUUGUGGUUUGUGGCUGAUCUGCCCACCACUACGCUACCCCACUGUGUCCCUUCCGGUCUCACCGCGUGGAGGUGGGGCUGUUUCUGCUCGAUGCGAGGGCAGAGGAAGGCACAGCAACGGCACACGACGGGGGAGAGAGCGAGGCACCGAUGAAGGUGCAUCAAGACGAAGCCGCCAUCGGCACCGCCGCGUGGAUGUCUUUGGCGCCCUCUCUUUUGUAUCCGUGUUUUCUCACCUUGCAUGCUCUUGUUGUUUGCUUUUCUCUUACGCAAACCCUGAUGGCCGAAGUGGAGGGGGGAGGGUUAGUGGUGGCCACCUCGGCGUGGCGUCCGAGACGCCCACCCACUCUUUGUGGCAAAGCCGUGCAGCACCCCUUCCUCUUCCUGCCAAUGCGGGACCCCCUCUGGCGGUGACAGCGUCAAGCGCCUACGACGUGAGGGAGGGCUCAGAGCGACUUAUCACUGCUGACGGGCCGCAUUCGAAAACGAAAUCCACACGGUGUGCUGCACCGAGAGCGCCGACCUACUUCUCCCUAACCCACACGCGCUGCUGCAUCUCGCAUGUCACAUAACGUCCUGUCUUCAC